rnacentral:rRNA from 1 species
UGAUUCGCGUAUCGANGAAAAACGCANCNANNUGCGUUAUUUNCCACGAAUUGCAGGCGCUUAGAGUGGUGAAAUUUUGAACGCAUAGCGCCGUUGGGUUUUCCCUUCGGCACGUCUGGUUCAGGGUUGUU